rnacentral:rRNA from 1 species
AGGAGGAGCAAAUCUGAAAAAAGCGUCCCUAGUUCGGAUUGUAGGCUGAAACUCGCCUACAUGAAGCUGGAAUUGCUAGUAAUCACAGGUCAGCAUACUGUGGUGAAUACGUUCCCGGGCCUUGUACACACCGCCCGUCACACCAUGAGAGUUGGGGAUACCCGAAGCCUGUGAGCUAACUAUUUAUAGGAGCAGCAGUCGAAGGUAGAAUCAAUGAUUGGGGUGAAGUCGUAACAAGGUAGC